rnacentral:tRNA from 1 species
GGCGGAAUAGUUCAGUUGGUUAGAACAGCAGAAUCAUAAUCUGGAGGUCGGGGGUUCAAGUCCCUCUUCCGCUA